ACGUAGCUGAUUAAGCCGUAAGUGCUCUCUGCCCCCUGGGACCUGGUGUGCAGUGGCUGAAGAAAGCAAGCGGCUCUUCUGCAGUCCACACAGACUGUGGCUUGUGUGGACUGUUUCUAAAAAACCUCUGGAACAUUC